UCAAAUGUAUGUUGACGUAUCUGAAAGGGAUACUCUUCGGACAAUAUACAAGGUGCUGCAUGGUUGUCGUCAGCUCGUGCCGUGAGGUGUCGGGUUAAGUCCAUAACGAGCGCAACCCCUAUCAUUAGUUGCCAUCAGGUCAAGCUGGGGACUCUAAUGAAACUGCCUACGCAAGUAGUGAGGAAGGUGGGGAUGACGUCAAAUCAGCACGGCCCUUACGUCCAGGGCUACACACGUGCUACAAUGGCCGGUACAAAGGGCAGCUACCUGGUGACAGGAUGCUAAUCUCAAAAAGCCGGUCUCAGUUCGGAUCGGAGUCUGCAACCCGACUCCGUGAAGUUGGAUUCGCUAGUAAUCGCGCAUCAGCCAUGGCGCGGUGAAUACGUUCCCGGGCCUU
rnacentral:rRNA from 1 species